UGAAGGAGAGCCGGGCUCUUAAAGGGACAGUGAGGCUGGACUGGGGGACAGUCUUCAAUCAGCAUUCACAGAAAAACCCGACAGGAGACUGGAUAUGCUCUGGUCUCGCCUCUGUUUGGAAUGAAAAUCACGCUUCGCAAUGAAAGGAACCAAGACUUCAGGCGUUUCAGGAAAUCCUUCCCAGGAAGAAAAGGGAAAGUUUGAGUAAUCCUGAGCUCUGCUGAGCAGGAGGAGGUGAGUUUGAUGGGAGCAGCUCGUUUUUACCUCACACGGCAGCGGCAGCCAGGUUACCGUCAGAUAGGUGUGUAACAU